rnacentral:tRNA from 1 species
GAGGCGUUAGUCUAUUAAGGGCAUCCCGCUGUUAACGGGAAAGAGGGCUGUAGGGGCUCACGCUUCU